GCCCUUCAUGUGGGGCUGAAGUCUUAAGACCUGGAGAGCAGCCCCAAGGGUGGAGAAGCGGCUGCUGAAGGGAUCAGCAUGCGCUGGCACAGGAAGUCUGUUUUCCAUGUGUCUGGAACCCAGCCGAAGCUUCCUGGGGUAAUUUUAACCAGUAUCCACUCUAGAACAAUACCAAAAAAGCAAGACUGUGUUGGGCUGGAGGAAAGGCAGUAAUCAACUCCAUGUUCCACGUGAGGAAACUGAAGAUCAUGGAAGGCAAGUCGAGAGCCCCAAGGUUAUCCAGCUUCAAGGUCACCAGUCACCCAGCUUCCUUCUUUCGUGCAGCCAGAUGCCCAUCCCAGUACUAGGUUGCGCUGUGGGGAUUGUGGAGUAGCCCUCUACCACCUAGGGCCCUCAUGUGUUUCCUUUAUUUGAGACAGGGUCUCACUCUGUCACCCAGGGUGGAAGUGGCCCAGUCACAGCUUACUGCAGCAUCAGCCUCCCCAGGCUCAAGUGAUUAAGGCCUCCCUCUGCCUGCCCCACCCCCACUGUGUUUAUAUUGUUGGGAAACUUAAUCCACGGAAAUAAAGUGUGGAUUAUUUUUAUUGA
rnacentral:lncRNA from 10 species